rnacentral:rRNA from 1 species
UGUCUUUUUGAAAAUAAUAUAAAGUCUAAUCUGCCCACUGAUUUUAAUUAAAGGGCUGCAGUAUAUUGACUGUACAAAGGUAGCAUAAUCAUUAGUCAUUUAAUUGGUGACUUGUAUGAAAGAUUGGAUGAAAUAUAAACUGUCUCUUAAUUAUUUAUAGAAUUUAAUUUUUUAAUUAAAAAGUUAAAAUAUAUUAAAAAGACGAGAAGACCCUAUAGAGUUUUAUAAAUAAAAUUAAUUAAGAUUAUUUAUAAAAUUAAAAUUAAAAUUGAUUUAUUUAUUAUGUUGGGGUGACAGAAAAAUAUAGAAAACUUUUUAUAUAUUUAUAUAAACAUUGAUAAGUGGUUAAAUGAUCCAAUUUUAUUGAUUAUAAGAAAAAAUUACCUUAGGGAUAACAGCGUAAUUUUUUUUUUUAGUUCAGAUAAAAAAAAGAGUUUGCGACCUCGAUGUUGGAUUAAGAUAAAAUUUAAAUGCAGAAG